rnacentral:rRNA from 1 species
UACGUAGGGUGCGAGCGUUAAUCGGAAUUACUGGGCGUAAAGCGUGCGCAGGCGGUUUGUUAAGUCUGCUGUGAAAUCCCCGAGCUCAACUUGGGAAUUGCAGUGGAUACUGGCAAGCUGGAGUACGGUAGAGGAAGGUGGAAUUCCCGGUGUAGCAGUGAAAUGCGUAGAGAUCGGGAGGAACACCAGUGGCGAAGGCGGCCUUCUGGACCAGUACUGACGCUCAUGCACGAAAGCGUGGGGAGCAAACAGG